GCGGGCCAGCGAGUGCUUGUCAGGAGCGUGCUCUCACCCCUCCCUGCGUUUGCACUCGCUGUGCUGCGCGUGCCGCAAAGAUUCCUAAAGGACAUCGACAAGACACGGAGAAGAUUCCUCUGGGCGUAUGACGAGGAGAUGUCGGGGGGGAAGUGCAAGGUUCGAUGGCCAGUUGUUGCCUUGCUGGCGAACCGCGGUGGUCUAGGCAUCCUUGACCUUGAGCGGUUCGCGCACGCACUCAUGCUGCGCUGGCUUUGGCUGGCUUGGAAGCACCCGGACAUGCCAUGGGUGGGACUU
rnacentral:rRNA from 1 species